rnacentral:rRNA from 1 species
AUUCUGGUUGAUCCUGCCAGAGGCCACUGCUAUCGGGGUUCGAUUAAGCCAUGCGAGUCGAGAGGUGCAAGACCUCGGCGCACUGCUCAGUAACACGUGGAUAACCUACCCUCAGGUGGGGGAUAACCCCGGGAAACUGGGGAUAAUACCCCAUAGACCAGGGACGCUGGAAUGCCCCCUGAUCGAAAGGUCCGCCGCCUGAGGAUGGGUCUGCGGCCGAUUAGGUUGUUGUUGGGGUAACGGCCCAACAAGCCUUUGAUCGGUACGGGUUGUGAGAGCAAGAGCCCGGAGAUGGAUUCUGAGACACAAAUCCAGGCCCUACGGG